UACGUAGGGUGCGAGCGUUGUCCGGAAUUAUUGGGCGUAAAGGGCUCGUAGGCGGUUUGUCGCGUCGGGAGUGAAAUCCACUGGCUUAACUGGUGGCUUGCUUUCGAUACGGGCAGACUGGAGGUAUGCAGGGGAGAACGGAAUUCCUGGUGUAGCGGUGAAAUGCGCAGAUAUCAGGAGGAACACCGGUGGCGAAGGCGGUUCUCUGGGCCAUGUCC
rnacentral:rRNA from 1 species